GUGCUUGUUUCAGCAGCACAUAGACUAAAAUUGGAAUGAUACAGAGAAGAUUAGCAUGGCCCCAGCACAAGGAUGACAAAUUCAUGAAGCAUUCUAUAAUUUU
rnacentral:snRNA from 1 species